rnacentral:sRNA from 1 species
GCUGGGCAUGGUGGCGUGUGUCUGUAAUCCCAGCUACUCGGAAGGCUGAGGCAGGAGAAUUGCUUGAACCCGGGAGGUGGAGGUUGCCAUGAGCCGAGAUCAGGCCAUUGCACUCCAGCCUGGGCGACAAUAGCAAGACUCCGUCUCAAAAAAAAAAAAAAAAAAAAAAAUCGAGACAGAGUGUUGCUCUGUUGCCCAGGCUGGAGUGCAGUGGCAUGAACAGAAGGCUCACUGCAGCCUCAACUUCCUGGGCUCAAGCAAUCCUCCUGCCUCAU